rnacentral:rRNA from 1 species
UACGGAGGGUGCAAGCGUUAAUCGGAAUUACUGGGCGUAAAGCGUGCGUAGGUGGUUCGUUAAGUCCGUUGUGAAAGCCCCGAGCUCAACUUGGGAAUUGCAGUGGAUACGGGCAGACUAGAGGUAGGUAGGGGAGAAUGGAAUUCCCGGUGUAGCGGUGAAAUGCGCAGAUAUCGGGAGGAACACCGGUGGCGAAGGCGGUUCUCUGGGCCUUACCUGACGCUGAGGAGCGAAAGCGUGGGGAGCGAACAGG